CGAGCGGACAUGACGUGUGGCUGUCGUAAAAACCCUAUUUGUAAACAACCAGUCCUUUAACUCAGCGCUACGUCAUAAACACGGAGCGCUUGGAAGACCACGAUGUCAUCUUCCUUCUGUCAGGAGGAUCCAAGUGAAGCUACAGGAGUUUCAUUAACGUCAACAACUUGGACCGAACAGUUUGUUUUGCUUGAUGAAGAGCAGGAAGGGCAGCCUGGAGAGAAAGAGAAGCCGGGUUGAGCCCACUACCAUCAUCCAUGUACCACAAGGAAGAUGAGGGAGAGAAAUGAUCCUACCAUUAAAGAGGUACUUUUAAGUUACAUACCAGAAACACCAUUUUAUAUAAUGUGCUAAAUAUACAUUUUUAUUACAUCCCCAAAGUACGCUUGCUGAAAUACAAGUUAAUAUCACACUGAAAGAAUUUUGAUCAAUCAUGCUUCCCUGCUGUGAUUGUUUAACUGGGAAAACAACUUUUUCCACAGGAAGGCAAGUAAAUUUAAGGAAUACAUGUGCAAAGUUUUCCUCUGUUAUGUAUAAUGAUGACCCCAUCAAACAUAAUGUUAGCAAUAUUUACACCUUUUAAUUUAUACUGAUUAUUUCUGUCUACAUGUGUGAAUUUGCCUUCAUUAGUUUCAGAAAAGAGCGAUACUGUAUCGGUCAGUGGGCGGCAGCACGAGACUCCGCAAACUAGUCUGUAAGCAAAGUAGACGAAGGCAUCGAGGUUGCGGCCUGCCAUCAUUGUUAUUUUUGCUUAAGGGACUGAAUAUGUUUCAUGCAGGAAUAUUAGCAUUUCCCUUAUAUCUACCAAAACUGCUUGUUUCACAGACUGCAGUUUUGUUUUGAUCCGAUGUGGUGUGCAAAUACAACCGUAUCUGCAAUGGGUUGUGGGGCAUUAACAUUUGUAACUCUAAUUUUGUUUUGACCGACUGUGAAAAGAACGUUGAGAACAUCACCACUCUACAGGAAGACACAGUCCAGUAAUGGGUGUCAGAAUUUCAGUAGUGAACGACAGGAAGGACUGAUGCAUUUACUGAGACGGGACGUGAGGGCCUACUCUGCGUGCUCAGAGUUCAAGCCCAGCAGGCUGCAGCGGUCCUGACAUAUUCCGGAACAGCAGCACAGUCUUUGGAUGACUCCUCUGAAGAUGAAAACAUGGCGAGUUCUUCUCAAGAGAAGCAGUACAGGUGUGCCUCAGCUCCACGGUCCCUCCUGCAGCCUCCGCUCCUGAUGCUAACCUCAUGUCUCCAUCACACCAAGCAGCAGACCUGGAUUGACAGACCUUUCUCCAGAGCUGCCCCCUCCCUCUGAAACCCCCCUCUCCAAAACACUAUUUGUGUAGUUUUUAAAGUAUUUUUUGCAUGAGAAUUGUUGAUCAUAACAUUUCCAGCAGAUGCCUUAAUGUAAUGUUUGUGCACAAUAAAUGACAUUGAUCAUAACAUAUUGGUAUUUCCUUGCACUUCUACACCAUGAUAUUGUCAGAUAAGAUGCUGAUUACAUUAAAGCAGUGAAUGCUCUGCUUUAAGCAACAUAAACACACAAUGAUCCAAUGGAUCUGAAGUAGA